CGUUAUCCCUAUCCCUUCCAAAGCAGGUACAAGAACUUUAUUGGCGGGAAACAUAUUCCAGUCCAGUUACAUAUAUAUUCUUUCUCGGACUCAAUUUCACAGGACUUACUUUAUUUAUCUCAUACCUUUUUUUUUACGAUAUAUCGUACUAAUGCAUAUUCCAAGAUAAGAGAGAAGCAAAAAAUGGAAAAAGGAAGAAAGAGAAGAAAAUUUUACAUGUUUAUCGCACAUUACAAAAAAGCGUGUUAUUCAUUGAACGUACGCGUAAAAAGGUAGAGAUACGAGAGAAGAUAAUACGAGAUAAGGUUACAAGAUAGAAUAUAAUCUAAGAACAGAAAAAGCACAAAUCGUUUGCACGUGCAACCAGUCGAAACGCUAGUCGUUAUUUCGAUACGUUUUCAAGAUCCAAAUGUCUUCUAUUUUCCAUCGUC